GACGAACGUUGGCGGCGUGCUUAAUACAUGCAAGUCAACUGAAGCAGUGGUAGCAAUAUCGCUGUGGAGGUGGCGCACGGGUGAGUAACACGUAGGUAAUCUGCCUUCAGGUCUGGCAUAACUCCGGGAAACCGGGGCUAAUAGCAGAUGAUGCAGCGGCUCGACAUCGAGACAGUUGUUAAAGCUAUGGCGCCUGAAGAUGAGCCUGCGUCUGAUUAGCUAGUUGGCGGGGUAACGGCCCACCAAGGCAACGAUCAGUAGCUGGUCUGAGAGGAUGAUCAGCCACACUGGAACUGAGACACGGUCCAGGCUCCUACGGGAGGCAGCAGUAAGGAAUAUUGCUCAAUGGGAGAAAUCCUGAAGCAGCAACGCCGCGUGAGGGACGAAGGGCUUUUGCUUGUAAACCUCUGUAGUGAGAGAAAAAAAUCCCAAUCUUUGGGACAUGAUGGUAUCUCAAAAGUAAGCCCCGGCUAACUACGUG
rnacentral:rRNA from 1 species